rnacentral:rRNA from 1 species
GAUGAACGCUGGCGGCGUGCCUAAUACAUGCAAGUCGAGCGAACGGACGAGAAGCUUGCUUCUCUGAUGUUAGCGGCGGACGGGUGAGUAACACGUGGAUAACCUACCUAUAAGACUGGGAUAACUUCGGGAAACCAGAGCUAAUACCGGAUGAUAUUUUGAACCGCAUGGUUCAAAAGUGAAAGACGGUCUCGCUGUCACUUAUAGAUGGAUCCGCGCUGCAUUAGCUAGUUGGUAAGGUAACGGCUUACCAAGGCAACGAUGCAUAGCCGACCUGAGAGGGUGAUCGGCCACACUGGAACUGAGACACGGUCCAGACUCCUACGGGAGGCAGCAGUAGGGAAUCUUCCGCAAUGGGCGAAAGCCUGACGGAGCAACGCCGCGUGAGUGAUGAAGGUCUUCGGAUCGUAAAACUCUGUUAUUAGGGAAGAACAUAUGUGUAAGUAACUGUGCACAUCUUGACGGUACCUAAUCAGAAAGCCACGGCUAACUACGUG